rnacentral:rRNA from 1 species
CCCUUAGAUGUUCUGGGCCGCACGCGCGCUACACUGACGAAUGCAACGAGCUUAUAACCUUGGCCGAAAGGUCUGGGUAAUCUCCAAAUUUCGUCGUGAUGGGGAUAGAUUAUUGCAAUUAUUAAUCUUCAACGAGGAAUGCCUAGUAAGCGCAAGUCAUCAGCUUGCGUUGAUUACGUCCCUGCCCUUUGUACACACCGCCUGUCGCUCCUACCGAUUGAAUGGUCCGGUGAAGCGCUCGGACCGCGGCCUCUUGACGGUUUUCCGUCGAUUGGCUGUGGGAAGUUCGUUAAACCUUAUCAUUUAGAGGAAGGAGAAGUCGUAACA